UACGAAGGGUGCAAGCGUUACUCGGAAUUACUGGGCGUAAAGGGCGCGUAGGUGGCUUCUUAAGCGUGCGGUGAAAGCCUGGGGCUCAACCCCGCGUCGGCCAUGAAUACUGCUGGGCUUGAGCACUGUAGAGGCAGGCGGAAUUCCGAGUGUAGCGGUGGAAUGCGUAGAGAUCCGGAAGAACACCGGUGGCGAAGGCGGCCUGCUGGGCAGUAGCUGACACUGAGGCGCGACAGCGUGGGGAGCAAACAGG
rnacentral:rRNA from 1 species